AGCAGUAGUGGUGUCAUUGAGACCCAAAGAGUGGCAGGUAAUGCUAAGUAAGUGCUAAGGACAGACCAUAGUUAAACUUUUGGGUCGAUCAUGAUACGAUUGAAGAGUUUAGUGUGGGUCUUGUAUUAGCCUGAUUAUAUAUAUAUAUAUUCGACAAAAACAGAUAACAGCUUUGUUAUCUGUUUUUAUUGAAUAUAUAUAUAUA